GACGGAGGAUGCAAGUGUUAUCCGGAAUCACUGGGCGUAAAGCGUCUGUAGGUGGUUUAAUAAGUCAACUGUUAAAUCUUGAGGCUCAACCUCAAAAUCGCAGUCGAAACUAUUAGACUAGAGUAUAGUAGGGGUAAAGGGAAUUUCCAGUGGAGCGGUGAAAUGCGUAGAUAUUGGAAAGAACACCGAUGGCGAAGGCACUUUACUGGGCUAUUACUAACACUCAGAGACGAAAGCUAGGGUAGCAAAUGGG
rnacentral:rRNA from 1 species